rnacentral:ncRNA from 1 species
GUUGUUUGGCAGAUGUUAGUGGUGUUUCCUACUUCAGUCGUCAGCAUCACUGGCUGAGUGAAAUAAUCCUUGGAUGCUAAUUGGUUCGCUAUCUGUGAAUUGGUGCUUCCUUGCGAUACUCACUACUCGGUCAGUGAGGAAGUGCGUUUGCUGGUCAACGAGCUUUCUAACUGUCAUUACCCUGCGCUUUUCGAUUCGUCGAGUGGCCAGGAUGUGGCUUUGAGAUUGUUCGCACUUAGUAAUCGCGAUGCUGGCUUCCAACGGUUGCCUCCGGCCCGUCUUGAAACACGGACCAAGGAGUCUAACGUAUGUGCGAGUGUGUGAGUGGCAAACUUAUACGCGUAAUGAAAGUGAGGCCGUAUGGCCAUGUUGGGGUCACCAACAACCGACCUUGAUCUUCGGUGAAAGGUUUGAGUAUGAGCAUAUCCGUUAGGACCCGAAAGAUGGUGAACUAUGCCUGAGCAGGGUGAAGCCAGGGGAAACUCUGGUGGAGGCUCGUAGCGAUACUGACGUGCAAAUCGUUCGUCAGACUUGGGUAUAGGGGCGAAAGACUAAUCGAACCAUCUAGUAGCUGGUUCCCUCCGAAGUUUCCCUCAGGAUAGCUAGAGUCUUUAUCAGUUUUGUCAGGUAAAGCGAAUGAUUAGAGGUUCCGGGGAAGUAACUUCCUCGACCUAUUCUCAAACUUUAAAUGGGCAAGAUCCAGUAGUUACUUAAUUGAACUAUUGGGGUCAAUGAGACGACUCUAAGUGGGCCAUUUUUGGUAAGCAGAACUGGCGAUGAGGGAUGAACCUAACGCUCGGUUAAGGUGCUAAACUGCUCGCUCAUCAGAUACCACAAAGGGUGUUGGUCGAUCUUAACAGCAGGACGGUGGUCAUGGAAGUCGAAAUCCGCUAAGGAGUGUGUAACAACUCACCUGCCGAAUCGACUAGCCCCGAAAAUGGAUAGCGCUGAAGCGAGUGACCGAUACCGGGCCAUUGUUGCAAGAUAAUUGGCAACAAUGAGUAGGAGGGCGUGGGGGUUGUGAAGAAGCUGGACG